UUUUUUUUGUUUGCUCUUGGAAGAGUUUCUUUGCAGGCUUAGAAGCUCCCCAUCUUGUUCUAGGGUUCAUUUUUUCUCUCGAUUUAGAGUCUUUUUGCCGCUGUCGGAACGCGAUUCUGAUAGCCUGACGCCUCUCUCCAGUUGGGGUUUUACAGUCUUGAAGUUUAAUUUGUUUGCAGGAAGAUUUAUCUGUUGCCUGUCCUAGUUCAAUUCAGCAUCUUUUCUGAAUGUGUUUUCAGGUCUUUCAAAAAAAGGAAGUGUUUUCAGCCAAAAUUGUGGUUGCUUCUCCACUACUUGAUCUAUUGCAAGAAGGUCUAACCUCCCCUCCCGUGUAGAUUCUUGUGUUCUUGACUUUACUGAUCAGUAAAGCUUCUCUUGAAAUGGGAUGAACAGAAAGUCUGAAACUCUGAAAGCAACAAGAAGCUGAACAACAAUAACCGGCGCCUGAACGUGGUAGCUGCCAGUCUUGCUCAGCUCUCACAUAACCCUUGGCAUGUGCUACGACAGUGCUGCUGCUGAAUGGAGCGCGACGAGGGAUGCGUACGCUCCACCCUCAAUGUUGAUCAAGCCGGUGCGCCACGAUCACUGUUGUUCGGUUCACCAUCACCCUGUCCAGCGCGUCCUGCACUGUCCGUUCGGACUCCGCAUCGAGCGCGCUUGUUGCUUCAUCGAGCAGGAGGAUCUUGGGGUCCUUCACAAUGGCGCGGGCAAUUGCCACACGCUGCUUCUGCCCUCCUGAUAACUGAGCCCCACGCUCCCCAACCAUUGUGUCAUAUCCCUGCAUUUUCAGGGGAAAGUUGAUGAGAAGAAGCUUUCCAAAAGAAAAUUUCAUGAGAAUUCGAUUGGGGUGAAUCAUGUAUGGUUACUGAAGAGCACAAUUCAGUUCGUACUGAACUCACUGGCAACGAUUGAUUUGAGCUUGAAAGAGAAAGGCAAGGUGGAUAUGAUGCACUUGGUUAGUUGCUGCUACCUGAAUAAGCCAAACGUGCAUAGUUGGUUUAGCCUUAACUGUUUGCUCACGAAAUCAAGUGGUUCUCACUAUCAAACAGCAGCUUACUUUGCAUCUUUGAGUGGCCCGGCAUGUCUUAAUCAACACAAAAUCCAAAUAGAUGGCUUUAUCGUAUAACGAAAAAAGAAUAUAAACUAUUUUCUAAUCCGUUUCUAAUCAGCCGUUUUA